AUGUUCCACCUGGUGCUUGUGAGUGGGUUGCUGACAGGGAUGUCGUCGUGGGGGUCCUUCGCCCUCCUCCGGGAGUCCAGCCUUGAUGAAGAACAGCCGCUCGAGUCGUCUGUCGUUACCCUCAAUGAGAGCUGCAGGGAGCGGGCCCUCCAGGAAGUGGGCUCUGCCACGCUCCGGUUGCUCCGGUUGGACAGCCCCCCCAGGAUCGCAGCUGGCACAAGGAGGCAGGCGCAUGAAGCUUGGGAAAUGAUGGAACUGCCGGAUCUGUCCAGUGGGGGGCAGCAUUUCAAUCUUUCGUCCAAUGAGACACUGCUGGUCCGAAGAGAAAGCUGCACCCAAAUUUCCCACCAUGUCACGUUGGAAGAUCUUGGCUGGCAAAGCUGGGUGCUGCACCCGGUGUCCUUCGUCUUCACCCAGUGCCUCGGGUGCCGCUGCCGACGAAAGGACAAGGCCCCUCCGCUGGCCCUUUGGAUUCAAGACUGCGGACUUGAGCAGCCGAGCCGUCGGCCAGAUGGGCAAGCCAAGCAGAGACACUGCUGCCAGACCCGCCGGGCACCGAUGCCCUUCGUGUUCCUCAAAGAGGACGGCUCGUUGGUCAUUCGAGCAAUCCGCCUGGAACGAGACUGCCACUGCCGCCCCUGA
rnacentral:lncRNA from 1 species